UAUCUGAGAAAUAACAUUAUUCAUUUUAAAAUUACCUAAUUGAUUUCUAAAUGAAAUUGUUUCUUUUUCUUCAGUAGUGCAAUCUCAGUCAAAUCUUGAAGACUCUUUGGAUGUCAGUCCCAUAUGCUCAAAUUCAAAGGCCCAAACAAAUUCCUUCACUAAUCAAAAGUACAUUGUAAAUAGCUGUGUGAUUGUCAAGUAUGGGGAAAUAUUCUAUCCAGGAGUUGUGAUAGAAGUCCUGGAUGAUCAGGGCAGAAAUAAUUGUGUAAAAAGGCACAGAAAUAAAAGAGAUAUAUUUGUAUAUCCAGAAGUGCAGGACAUACAGUUAGUGUAUGCAGACAUGAUUGUUACUGAAGUGAUGUUGAUACCAAAUGGCAAUAGUUUGAUAGUGGAAUGUUUUGAUUUCUGAAUUUGUCAAAUAAAAUUUGAGUACAGUUUUAUGCCUUUUCUUUCUUUUUUUUUUUCAAACCUUUUUCUGUGUGUUAAAACUAACAAAAGAUAUAAAAUAUAUAUUUGUCAAUAAUUUAAAAUAAUAUUGAUCAUUCACUUGUGCACAGAUAAGACAAAAAUGUACACUUAUAAACAUUAUUUUAAAAAAAUGGUGUCCCAUGAAGCACCCGCGACAUUUUGUGAAAUUAAAGCAGCAUUUUUACAAAUGGGUACUUUAUGACUAGUGUUACGACACAAGACUCUUUGAAAUAAUAAU
rnacentral:sRNA from 1 species